rnacentral:lncRNA from 1 species
CCUUAGGGCUCUGUGCUGAAACGCGAUAGCACGGAGACAGCUGGCUCAAUCGCCCGCCUGCAGCCCGUCCCUUCUCUUCCCACCGCAGACUGUCUGGGUUCCACCCACCAUGCUACCCUGCAGGCACAGGGGUGUGCCGAUCCACGGAAGGACGACAGGGCAGGAGCUUGCAUGAGAGCAGGGACCCACUGUUUUGGGGAAAACCCUGAAGAGUGCAUGUUCUAAUAUUUGCCAAGAUGGAGACUCAGAGAAACAGACUUAUAUAACACUCUUCAGGGAUGAAGGUGAGUUCUCUUUUUUGCUAGAAUUCACAUUUCUUCUUAGAUUAAUAUUAAUU